rnacentral:lncRNA from 1 species
UGGAGAGUAGUAUGGUGGUGGUGGGGAGCUGUAAACAUAUGGUGGUGGAGGAGACUUGUAGUCUACCUUAGGGGCUGGAGAGUAGUAUGGUGGUGGUGGAGAAUUGUAAACAUACGGUGGUGGAGGAGAUUUGUAGUGUACUUUAGGGGAUGGAGAGUAGUAAGGUGGUGGUGGGGAGCUGUAGACAUAUGGUGGAGGAGAAGAUUUGUAUACAACCUUAGGGGAUGGAGAAUAACAUGGAGGUGGUGGUGGACAUACACAUACAUGAGGGUGUGGUGGAGAUUUGUAUACAACUUUAGGGGAUGGUGAGUAGUACGGUGGUGGUGGAGAGUUGUAAACAUAUGGUGGUGGAGGAGACUUGUAGUGCACUUUUGGUGAAGGUGAGUAGUAUGGUGCUGGUGGGGAGCUGUAAACAUAUGGUGGUGGAGGAGACUUGUAGUGUACUUUAGGAGAAGGUGAGUAGUACGGUGGUGGUGGAGAACUGUAUACAUACGGGGGAGGGGGAGAUUUGUAUACUACCUUAGGGGAUGGGGAGUAGUACGGUGGUGGUGGGGAACUAUAAACAUAUGGUGGUGGAGGAGACUUAUAGUUUACCUUAGGAGAUGGAGAGUAGUAUGGUGGUGGUGGAGAACUGUAAACGUACGGGGGAGGAGGAGACUUGUAUACAACCUUAGGAGAUGGUGAAUAGUACGGUGGUGGUGGGGAGCUGUAAACAUAUGGUGGUGGGGGAGACUUGUAGUAUACCUUAGGAGAUGGAGAGUAGUAUGGUGGUGGUGGAGAACUGUAAACGUAUGGAGGAGGAGGAGACUUGUAUACAACCUUAGGAGAUGGAGAGUAGUAAGGUGGUGGUGGAGAACUGUAGACGUAUGGAGGUGGAGGAGACUUGUAGUCCACCUUUGGAGAUGGAGAGUAGUAUGGUGGUGGUGGGGA